CAGGAUGUUGGCUUAGAAGCAGCCAUCAUUUAAAGAAAGCGUAAUAGCUCACUGGUCGAGUCGGCCUGCGCGGAAGAUGUAACGGGGCUAAACCAUGCACCGAAGCUGCGGCAGCGACACUAUGUGUUGUUGGGUAGGGGAGCGUUCUGUAAGCCUGCGAAGGUGGCCUGUGAGGGCUGCUGGAGGUAUCAGAAGUGCGAAUGCUGACAUAAGUAACGAUAAAGCGGGUGAAAAGCCCGCUCGCCGGAAGACCAAGGGUUCCUGUCCAACGUUAAUCGGGGCAGGGUGAGUCGACCCCUAAGGCGAGGCCGAAAGGCGUAGUCGAUGGGAAACAGGUUAAUAUUCCUGUACUUGGUGUUACUGCGAAGGGGGGACGGAGAAGGCUAUGUUAGCCGGGCGACGGUUGUCCCGGUUUAAGCAUGUAGGCGGAGGUUC
rnacentral:rRNA from 1 species